UGACACUUGCUUCGAUUAUUAGAAUUUCAAAGAGAUUUGAUCCGAAAUAUUAACAGCAAAGAGGAAUCUUCUAGGUGGACAACAUGCAUUCGAGUCCAACGAAAGAUUUUACGUGGUUUAUGGCCAACUAGUACAUUGUGUGAGGAGUACGGAUCAGAAGAAAUGAGAUCAUAUUCAGUCCUCUUCAGACUGCCUCCUGACUUGUUCUUGAUCUGCAGCAGAUAGCAUGUUGUGGUCAACGGCAGGAAGGAGAAUAUACCCGACUGUAAACACUCAUCUCAUUACACUCAGUUACUUUGGUUAAUUAUAGCCCUAACUAUUAGAACAAAAUACUUUGUCAUAAUGUUAUAUACUGUUGCUUAGUGACUACUGAAAAUCUUCAAAACGAUUAUUUAAGCCGGGUUUAUUUUAUCAUUAACAUGACUAAAGGUGGUUUAUCACAACUAAAUAUGUUUAUUCAACCUUAAUAUAACCGUUGUCUACUGGAAGUGAUGAUAUCUGUCUUAAACCUAUGGAAGAUAUGAAUAUUCUCUAGUCAUCGAGUUAAAAUUGACCAUUGAUAUACUAUUGAUGUUUGCAUUAUGUAUCAUAUCAGUGCACAUUGAGAUAGGAGAAUCACAAUGUCGGAAUUUAAACGCAAAGUUUCACGCAAUUUGCAGUGCCCUGUUUGUUUCGAGCUGCUUUGUGACCCGAAGCAGUUAUCAUGUACACAUACCUUCUGUAAGAAAUGCCUUAAUGAUAUUCUUAAAAGCUCUUCAAAAGAUUAUCUUACAUGUCCCAUCUGUCGAAGCAUAACAUCUGUAGAGGGUGGCAAUGUCUUAAAUCUAAAUACUAAUGUUCCUCUUAAAUCUCUCAUUGAUGAUGUGAGAAAUAGCCAGCAAGUCUGUGAAAUGUGUGACUCUAACUCGA